rnacentral:rRNA from 1 species
UACGUCGGUGGCAAGCGUUGUCCGGAAUUAUUGGGCGUAACGCGCGCGCAGGUGGUUUCUUAAGUCUGAUGUGAAAGCCCACGGCUCAACCGUGGAGGGUCAUUGGAAACUGGGGAACUUGAGUGCAGGAGAGAAGAGUGGAAUUCCACGUGUAGCGGUGAAAUGCGUAGAGAUGUGGAGGAACACCAGUGGCGAAGGCGACUCUUUGGCCUGUAACUGACACUGAGGCGCGAAAGCGUGGGGAGCAAACAGG